rnacentral:piRNA from 1 species
UGUCUGUGGUUCUCAGAAGUUGUGAU